UUGGGUAAUUUUAAAUCAUUUCAGGUUCUAAGUCACAAAUGUUUAACCAGCUUCUCUUCGAGUGCAAUUAUUUUCAUCAGUCUUUCUGCAUAUCCAAUGCAACCGAGAGAUCCCCAACAGUAAUCAUGUCCAGCUGCGUGCCUGAACUAGCCUUUUGGUUCAGCAGAGCACAGCUCAGAAUAGGAGAGAUUAAAGGGCAGCAUUUUUCAGAUGUUAUUUAGUGUUGCUUGCUGUUUGUCUUUAUUCAAACUACUGAGCUCAGCUCUCCAACUAGUGGGUCAGUUUUUGAACGUCCUUAGAAAAUGUUUGCCCAGUAAAGGGCCAGGUGGAAGCCAAGUCGUCUUUUUUUUCCACCUCUUAUCCCCAUCACUGUAAAUUCUCAGAAAGCUACUGCAGAGGGACCAGAUUCUCAACGGGUUAAUCUGACAGUGGGCAAUACUGAGUCUUCUCUUACACGCAGAACCAUGACUUCCAUGUGCUUUCUGUGCCUACUUUUUUCUCCAUUGCUUUUCAGGGGUCUAAGGAAAGUAUGAAGGCUAAGACUGGUGCUAGCCUUAAAGCGACAAUCACAAGGAAGAGAUACCACCCUUAUAUCAAGAUGACAUACAACUGUAGAAACCAAAACCCCAAAAGGUGCAAAAGAACAGGAACACAAAUGCCUCCAAAGAAAACAUCCAGUGCUUUCUUCCCAGACAGCUCUCCUUUUUCUUGCACUGACCCUCAUGGCAGACUCCAGCUUACGUUCCACAAAGGAAUUUUUUGACUCUGAUUUCGCUACUGGAAGUCUAGGACGCCACCUUUCACUGGGGCCUAAUGAGAGGGGAGAGAAAAUUACUUUUUCUUCACCUUCAGUGUCAGACCCAUUUUUUUAGACAAUAGCACAAUAGUCCACACAGAUGUGAGUACCCCCUAAAAAGGGCAAAGUUUCACAUUAGUAUUCAGAGAAAUUUAGCUCCCAGAUCAUCCAAAGUUCUCCAUUCUGAAAAAAGACAUUUUGGCUUUACCUUUGCAAAAGAUAGAUGAAAAUAUUUUUCUUAACAUAUAAAAUAGUCCUUAUCAAAAAUGAACCAGAAAACAGCUGGUGGAUUUAAAAUAGCAGCUUGAACUAACUUUGAGCCAUCAAGAUUUCAAAAAUAUUGACUCAGUAUUUUUGGUGGGCCACAAAUAUGGUUCUAAAUCUCCUCAAAACCACUGUGAAGGGAAAUAUGAUUCACUUUGUGUUUCAAGGUGUCCAGAAAGAUAAAAAUAAAUUUUCCCUGUGGCUGCCACAGAGAGAGAAAAAACUGUGUAAUGUGACGAAAACAUCUUUCAUAAUA
rnacentral:lncRNA from 1 species